UCAAACUUGGUCAUUUAGAGGAAGUAAAAGUCGUAACAAGGUUUCCGUAGGUGAACCUGCGGAAGGAUCAUUAAUGAAUCGUUAAUGAAUUUGGCUGUCGCUGGCUCUCUCUCUCUCUUCAAGGGGGGAGGGAGCAUGUGCACGCCGAGUUCAAACUUUUCACCUUAACCUCCUGUGCACUCUUGUGGAUCGCGGAAUUUAGAUAACUUUGUCAAACUUAAACAAUUUGGUUUUGGAGUUUGCAUCCGUGCUCUCUCCUUCUAUCUGUCCGCGGUUCAUGUCUUUUUAUAAACCCUCUAUUUUAAACUUAGAAUGCUUAACGAGUUGGGAAACUUUUGUAACCCUUCUUAAAUCUUAUACAACUUUCAACAACGGAUCUCUUGGCUCUCGCAUCGAUGAAGAACGCAGC
rnacentral:misc_RNA from 1 species